ensembl:lncRNA
CUGAGAAGGGAGUGGUUCAGGGAACGGUGCCGGGGGAGGCAUAAUCAGCCUCAGGUGGGACUAAUCAAGCUGUGUAUUCUACCUUUAAGUAGGAGAAAUCUGGCGCCAGCGAGGGAGUGCUGAGAGGAGGCUGGAGCGACAACAACGGCUGUACGACAGAGGGGCCAGGCUGCGACGAUUCACACCGGGAGAAAAAGAUUGGAGAAAUCCAAGGCAGCACGCAACGUCAGGAUUGGUGGUGGAUCCCUGGAACGCUCAACAUUGCUGAUAUUAUCACUCGUGGGGCUGGUCCAAAAGAUUUGGAUGAAGGUUCACCAGUUCCUGAGUUUACCAGCAAAUGAGUGGCCAAUUAAGUCUGCAAAGGACGUAUCCGCAACUGCCAGAGAGAGUGUUGGAAAGAUGCAAAAGAAAACAUUUACUGCCGUACUCGCAAGAGCUCAGGUGAAGAAAGGGC